AACGAACGCUGGCGGCAUGCCUAACACAUGCAAGUCGAACGAGACCUUCGGGUCUAGUGGCGCACGGGUGCGUAACGCGUGGGAACCUGCCCUUAGGUUCGGAAUAACUCCCCGAAAGGUGUGCUAAUACCGGAUAAUGUCUUCGGACCAAAGAUUUAUCGCCUUUGGAUGGUCCCGCGUUGGAUUAGCUAGUUGGUAGGGUAAAAGCAUACCAAGGCGACGAUCCAUAGCUGGUCUGAGAGGAUGAUCAGCCACACUGGGACUGAGACACGGCCCAGACUACUACGGGAGGGAGGAGUGGGGAAUAGUGGAAAAUGGGGGAAAGCCUGAUCCAGCAAUGACGCGUGAGUGAUGAAGGCCUUAGGGUUGUAAAGCUCUUUUAACCGGGAUGAUAAUGACAGUACCGGGAGAAUAAGCUCCGGCUAACUCCGUG
rnacentral:rRNA from 1 species